GACGAACGCUGGCGGCGUGCCUAAUACAUGCAAGUUGAGCGCUGAAGGUUGGUACUUGUACCAACUGGAUGAGCAGCGAACGGGUGAGUAACGCGUGGGGAAUCUGCCUUUGAGCGGGGGACAACAUUUGGAAACGAAUGCUAAUACCGCAUAAAAACUUUAAACACAAGUUUUAAGUUUGAAAGAUGCAAUUGCAUCACUCAAAGAUGAUCCCGCGUUGUAUUAGCUAGUUGGUGAGGUAAAGGCUCACCAAGGCGAUGAUACAUAGCCGACCUGGGAGGGUGGUCGGCCAAAUUGGGACUGGGACACGGCCCAAACUCCUACGGGAGGCAGCAGUAGGGAAUCUUCGGCAAUGGACGAAAGUCUGACCGAGCAACGCCGCGUGAGUGAAGAAGGUUUUCGGAUCGUAAAACUCUGUUGGUAGAGAAGAACGUUGGUGAGAGUGGAAAGCUCAUCAAGUGACGGUAACUACCCAGAAAGGGACGGCUAACUACGUG
rnacentral:rRNA from 1 species